rnacentral:rRNA from 1 species
CUACGGGAGGCUGCAGUGAGGAAUAUUGCACAAUGGGGGGAACCCUGAUGCAGCAACGCCGCGUGGAGGAUGACGCAUUUCGGUGUGUAAACUCCUUUUAUAUGUUAAGAAAAUGACGGUAGCAUAUGAAUAAGCACCGGCUAACUCCGUGCCAGCAGCCGCGGUAAUACGGAGGGUGCAAGCGUUGCUCGGAAUCACUGGGCGUAAAGGACGCGUAGGCGGGUUGGAAAGUCAGGUGUGAAAUCCUACAGCUUAACUGUAGAACUGCACUUGAAACUUCUAAUCUAGAGUAUGGGAGGGGGAGAUGGAAUUAGUGGUGUAGGGGUAAAAUCCGUAGAUAUCACUAGGAAUACCUAAAGCGAAGGCGAUCUCCCGGAACAUUACUGACGCUAAGGCGUGAAAGCGUGGGGAGCAAACAGGAUUAGAUACCCCGGUAGUC